rnacentral:rRNA from 1 species
ACGGGAGGCAGCAGUGGGGAAUAUUGCACAAUGGGGGAAACCCUGAUGCAGCGACGCCGCGUGAGUGAAGAAGUAUUUCGGUAUGUAAAGCUCUAUCAGCAGGGAAGACAGUGACGGUACCUGACUAAGAAGCCCCGGCUAACUACGUGCCAGCAGCCGCGGUAAUACGUAGGGGGCAAGCGUUAUCCGGAUUUACUGGGUGUAAAGGGAGCGUAGACGGCGGUGCAAGUCUGAUGUGAAAGCCCGGGGCUCAACCCCGGUACUGCAUUGGAAACUGUACUGCUAGAGUGCAGGAGAGGUAAGUGGAAUUCCUAGUGUAGCGGUGAAAUGCGUAGAUAUUAGGAGGAACACCAGUGGCGAAGGCGGCUUACUGGACUGUAACUGACGUUGAGGCUCGAAAGCGUGGGGAGCGAACAGGAUUAGAUACCCUGGUA